CAGACCGUAAACAAUGUGCGUUAGGUGGUGUCGGUAACCACGCGUUACUGAUGCGUCGAAGAGAAAUCGUGAAACGCACCACCUGGGAAGUACGGUCGCAAGGCUGAAACUUAAAGGAAUUGGCGGGGGAGCACCACAACAGGUGGAGCCUGCGGUUUAAUUGGAUUCAACGCCGGACAUCUCACCGGAUAAGACAGCUGAAUGAUUGUCAAUCUGAAGGUUUUACAUGACUAGCUGAGAGGAGGUGCAUGGCGUCAGUGACU
rnacentral:rRNA from 1 species